UACGGGGGGGGCAAGCGUUGUUCGGAAUUACUGGGCGUAAAGGGCUUGUAGGCGGCCAACUAAGUCAGACGUGAAAUCCCUCGGCUUAACCGGGGAACUGCGUCUGAUACUGGAUGGCUAGAGAUUGGGAGAGGGAUGCGGAAUUCCAGGUGUAGCGGUGAAAUGCGUAGAUAUCUGGAGGAACACCGGUGGCGAAGGCGGCAUCCUGGACCGACAUUGACGCUGAGGCGCGAAAGCCAGGGGAGCAAACGGG
rnacentral:rRNA from 1 species